rnacentral:rRNA from 1 species
CUACGGGAGGCAGCAGUGGGGAAUAUUGGACAAUGGGGGAAACCCUGAUCCAGCAAUGCCGCGUGUGUGAAGAAGGCCUGCGGGUUGUAAAGCACUUUCGGUUGGGAGGACUGCUUCUAGCACUAAUAUUGUUGGAAGUUGACGUUACCUUCAGAAGAAGCACCGGCUAACUCCGUGCCAGCAGCCGCGGUAAUACGGGGGGUGCAAGCGUUAAUCGGAAUUACUGGGCGUAAAGCGCGCGUAGGCGGCUAGAUCAGUCGGGUGUGAAAGCCCCGGGCUUAACCUGGGAACUGCAUCCGGUACUGGCUAGCUUGAGUACAGGAGAGGAGAGUGGAAUUCCACAUGUAGCGGUGAAAUGCGUAGAUAUGUGGAGGAACACCAAUGGCGAAGGCAGCUCUCUGGCCUGAUACUGACGCUGAGGUGCGAAAGCGUGGGGAGCAAACAGGAUUAGAUACCCCUGUAGUC